GAAAUGCGAUAAGUAGUGUGAAUUGUAGAAUUCAGUGAAUCAUCGAAUCUUUGAACGCACAUUGCGCCCCUUGGUAUUCCAUGGGGCAUGCCUGUUCGAGCGUCAUUUGUACCCUCAAGCUCUGCUUGGUGUUGGGUGUUUGUCCCGUCUCCGCGCGUGGACUCGCCCCAAAGUGAUUGGCAGCCGGCGUACUGGUCCCGGAGCGCAGCACAUGUCGCGCAAACGAGUGCCUUGGUACGGCGGCGUCCAUAAGCCCCUCUCUCACGCUCUUGACCUCGGAUCAGGUAGGGAUACCCGCUGAACUUAAGC
rnacentral:misc_RNA from 1 species